rnacentral:lncRNA from 1 species
GCCUUUGGAGAAGGGAGGUGCUUAGAGUCGACCUCCGAUCCUAGGGCCAUAGAGACCCGCCUCCAAGCAAGCCAUCAGCUGCCCACCAUGGUUCGAAGAAGAGGGGAUAACACCAAUAGCAGAGGAUUGGGACAUAGACUCUUGAUUGAGCCCUUGCCAGUAGGAGGCAGAGGAUUCAUCAAGGAACAGGGGGACCUUAGGAGCCCAAUCCACCUCUUAGUUGAGGUAAGGAGAUGAUAAUAAGGAUUCGAUAUGUAAUGUCACCCAAAAGUCACCAAAUGGAGUUAGGAAUAGCUUUGAGAGAUUUAGACAAGGCAAGCACCUCAUAGAUGAGAUGUCUCUUCCCACU